ACGGGAUCUCUAUAAAAAGCCUACGGUUUGGUGGGAGAGCCCGUUAUGUAUUGGGAGACCGACUUUGGAGAAGACGGGCGGCAGUUCCGCGCGGAUAAAGAAAGACCAGGGUGGGAAAGAUGUUCCUGUGCAAAGCGCUGCCAGUCAGGAAACUUUAACUGCGACUUCCACAUGGAGGAGGACUUUGCUCCCUUUUUUACUUCUCUUCUUUUUCAUCCUGCCAGAGCAUCAGCACCUUGGCUUUAGACUGCUUACUGCUUAUACAGUGUCACAGUACAGUAACAGUCUACAGUCAUGGCUACUGAAGCCUGGCGAUUCAUCAAACAUCUUUGUGAAGACAACGUAGACCUGGAAAACAGCUCAAUGACAGUGCACAGUGCUUUUAAAAUGGCCGACCUGAUAGUGGAGUCUCAACGUGCGUGUCAGUGAUCUCUCUCUCUCUCCUUCUAUCUCUCCGGUGGUGUCUGUUUUUCCCUCCUGCUCAGAGAGGAAACCUGUGUGGGCUUGCAUUGGGGGAGUCCUACACCCUGUAAGUGCGUAAUGUUCACACUAAAACCAAUGAGACCUUGCGGUUUCCGGUUACCAUGCCAACUCCAGCUCCACCUCAACCCUCCUGUCUCCAUGGCAACCGUGGCUUUAGAUUGUUACUCUAGCAACAGCACCAUGGUAACAGUCUACAGCCAUGGUCGUUAGGGGCAGAUAUCAUCAGGAACAGAUAAGUUGAGGCCAAUAAGUUUUAUAUGUUGCUUGUUGAAGAAAAACAUUAAAAGGUCUUUUGAAAGCAGAGAUAUCUCAGAAGUUUAACUAGUCUAAAGAUUCAAUGUAAUGUCAAAUCAAGCCAUGCCUAUUUGUGUAGCACAUCUAAAACAGCAAUGUGCUGCAAAAAAAAAAAAAAUCUAAUCUUAAAAAAACACAUCAAACUUCUGUAUAAUAAUAAUACAAAUUAUAAUAAUAAUGAUGAUAAUAAUAAUUAUUAUUAUUUGUUUUUUAAUUGUACCUCAAUUAUUUAAAUUACUGCCAUUUUUCGAAUUUAAUGUCAAUAAAUCAUAACAUGUUCGAAAGAUGAACAGAAAAAGCGUAUUAAAAUUAUAAAAAUCUGAGGAAGUUUAUUUUUAAUUAUUUUUUUAUUUAUUAUUAUUUGAAUUACUUCUUUAAAUAAGCAUGACACUGAAUACAAAUCAUUAAAAUAUGAAUAUAACUGUUGAAAUCACAAAAACAACCAGGGAUAAUUAUUAAUAAUAAAAUAUUUUAAUAAUAAUUAUUAUUAUCGUUACUAUUUUUUAGUAAUUAUAAUUUGGAGUUUUGAUGGGUCUCAGUAGUUCCAUGAGGGUACUUGAGUUGACAAGAAUUGAUGUAGACAAUGACUAUGUACAUGGAGCUUACAAGUAAUAUUUUACAAACCAUUUGUUGUUUAAGUUGAAACUGCUGGAAAGUCUUUCAAAUAAAUGUGAAAUGUUGUCUAUUUUAUUUGUAAGUUUAGCUUUAGCCUUCUGAAAAGGUUCCAGUGUAAUUGAGCAUCAACUGUUUUUCUCAGGCCAGACUGUAUUAGGAAGAAUCUUGAUGUUCUAGCUUUGAUAAAAUUAACUUUUGGAUAUGUUAAAUAUAUAAUAGUUAGGAUCAAACUCUACAUUUCUACUCACAAGGUUUAACCAGCAGGUGGAGAAACGAAGAAUACAUUUUAUUUUUUUUUAUUUGUCAGAGUCAGAACCUACUAAAAUAAUCACUAUUUUGUUGUCACUCAGCUUCUCAAAAUUUAGAGCAAAUAUUUUAACUUCCACAGCCAUUUAAGACACAAGUGCACACAUUCUGUUAAUUUUUACGUUCUUCUUUAUUAAGUAUUUUUAAACAUUACAGUAAUUAACGCUAACAGUACAUGCUGCAUAGAUGAGUCAGCCGGCUCCAACACCUGUUCUGCUCUGUGUUUAUCAGACGAGAGUGGUCCUACUUGAAAGCAGCCCAGCAAAUAAUUCCCACUGAAAUCUGCAGGCAGAUCCAAACACACAUAUUAUGGGUCCUACACAGGUGAAAUAACACAUAUGCAUAGAAAUGCACACACAGAGACAUAGAUACUUUGUAUCAGCAUACAACAAACACACAUUUCCAGAAAGAGAAUCAACUUAAACACUCAACCUCUGCAAUAUCCAGAGUUAGCCUGCCCUCUAGAGGCCAGAUUUUGUCAGUGUUCUGAGAUGUAAUUUAUUCUAUUAAACAGUUUAAAAAUAAA